UACGGGGGGGGCAAGCGUUGUUCGGAAUUACUGGGCGUAAAGGGCGCGUAGGCGGCUUCGCUAGUCGGGCGUGAAAUGCCUGGGCUUAACCCGGGAAUUGCGUUCGAUACUUCGAGGCUAGAGUGUGGGAGAGGUUGGUGGAAUUCCCAGUGUAGAGGUGAAAUUCGUAGAUAUUGGGAAGAACACCGGUGGCGAAGGCGGCCAACUGGACCACAACUGACGCUGAGGCGCGAAAGCGUGGGGAGCAAACAGG
rnacentral:rRNA from 1 species